GGAGGGACCUGCUGCAGGGACAGAGCAGGCUGGGGAUGUGACUGGGGAUGUGACUGGGGAUGUAUCAGCUGUCACAGCCUGACGUGGGUGUCCUGAGGGAGCUCAGUGGGGACAGAACCCUCCCAUGGAGCACAAGGGCAGAAACUCACUUCAUGCCCAUUUUCAGUGCAAACACAGCCCAUGAGAGUGAGGCCUCAUGAUUCUUCUGCCUUUUGGUGUUUUAAGCAGGAGGUGUUAGGAAAAUUUCCACAGGGGGGUCUGGAUUGUGGCAGCCAAGUGCUCAUAGCACCCUUGCUUUUUGAUCCUUUCAUAUUGGCUCUUCCUAUCCUUGGGAAUCAGAGUUCACCCGGCAUUGGAUUGCUCACCUGUCAUAGGGGAUGUGAGCUGGGAUUAGGUCAUUCUGAGCUGGGAUUAGAUC
rfam:Taeniopygia guttata chromosome 2, whole genome shotgun sequence.